AUUUUUUCAGUUGCCAUGUAGUAAUAGUACACUUUCACAAUUCUUUUCCAAUUGUUAUGCAGAAGAGAUUUCUUUACCCUGCCCGCAUGGAAACAUGGGUGCUGCGAACAAUUGGAGAGAGAUGGAGGCAACACAAGUCCAAUUUGAAAUCCAUUUAUUUUGACCCACAUAAGAGUCAGGAUGCUAAUAAUAGUAAUGCUCCUGAUGGUGUAUUAGCUGAUCAGUGGGUUGCGCUUGUCAAUAAUUGGAUGACCCCUAAAGCACAGGAUUUAAGUGAGGCCAAUAGGAUAAAUUGUACAAGAAGAAAGUCAAUGCAUACAUCUAGAACAAAAAGCUUUGCUCGGAAUAGAGAAGAAUUGAGGGAACAAGAUCCUGAAAAGAAAUACCCUCAUAGGGCUGUUUUGUAUAUCCAUACACACAAGUCUAACAUCGGCAAUAACAGAAAUCCACAU